rnacentral:rRNA from 1 species
GACGAACGCUGGCGGCGUGCUUAACACAUGCAAGUCGUACGGUAAGGCCCUUUCGGGGGUACACGAGUGGCGAACGGGUGAGUAACACGUGAGUAACCUGCCCACAACUUUGGGAUAACGCUAGGAAACUGGUGCUAAUACUGGAUAUGUGCUCCUGCUGCAUGGUGGGGGUUGGAAAGCUCCGGCGGUUGUGGAUGGACUCGCGGCCUAUCAGCUUGUUGGUGGGGUAGUGGCCUACCAAGGCGGCGACGGGUAGCCGGCCUGAGAGGGUGACCGGCGACAUUGUGGCUGAGAUACGGCCCAGACUCCGACGGGAGGCAGCAGUGGGGAAUAUUGCACGAUGGGCGCAAGCCUGAUGCAGCAACGCCGCGUGCGGGAUGACGGCCUUCGGGUUGUAAACCGCUUUCAGCAGGGACGAAGCUUUUUGUGACGGUACCUGCAGAAGAAGCACCGGCUAACUACGUG